GGUAGUGGUAGAGGCAUAGGAGGUCUCACCUUUGUGUAUCUGCCAUUAUAGCACGGGCAGCGCCAUUUAGGCAGUCAUGGGUAGACGGUAUACAUCUUAUGUCAAAGUGACGUCAAAAGUUGCACGUUCAGCGAAAAUGUGUGGAUUUUCGCCAAGUGUGUAGCCAUACCUCGAAAAACCUUGUUGUCACACCUCCUUCAGGUCUGGAGAAUUCUAUGUUAGGUCGAAACGGCUACAAUGGUCCACCGGCUUCCAACGGUUGCAUUUUUAUUGGAUGUUACAUUUACCCUCCCCACACAUGCCCGUAGAAGGCGUGUUAUGUUCGUCACGGUUUUCCGCCAGUGUGUUGUCCUGUUGCAAUAAAGACGAUUAACCUGUCAAAAGGUUGUGUUUGUUUCCUGUUAGAGUCGUAGGGUUCGCCACAAAAAUGCUAGAGUUUUUCAUCUGCGAUUUCCUGGCCAUCGUCACACACUGUCGCUCCUACGGUACGACUCUGCUGAGCGCCUUUGGAGCUCCGCCCAAGCCAGGCGUUUGAUUGGUUUGAAGUGUUUGCGAAAACGUCACUGAUUUACACUGGGGUUUUCCACUCCUUUGAGCCAUUGAUCUCACCAGGCUUCACCAAGCUUUCCGAUUAGGGAAGCCUGGUUCUCAUCGCGGCCAACCCUAACUCUAACCUUUUUCCUAACCUUAACCUAAUUCUCCUAACCUGCUGCAUAAGUUCUCCUAACCAGCUAGGAAAAACUCACUUCUGACCGUAGCUGUAUAACAUCUAGUCAAAACCCAUUGAGGCUAUCUCCAUUUUAAAGUGUUUGAAAAAAGUGUACAGCCAAUAUUGGUGAUGUACUGCCACCUGCAGCGCUAGAGUCCUGAACCAGAUCUUGUGUGUCAUUCAUUUAUUGUGACCACUGGAUGGCAGUGAUAAAGCUUAAAGCCAUUUACAGAUCAUAGCACCCAAUUUCAAGAUGAAGACAAUGCUCUGAUCAUCAUCUCUCCCAACCCAUAGGAAUCCCCACCCUGUUGACCUCUUUAAAAUGGUGGAAGCCCUCAAUGGAAGUGUCCAUGCUAAAACUUGGUUUAUAUCCCCGUGUUCCGGGGGCAGUCCCCGUUUUUGGUGGCCUGUCCCCGGCAAUGUCCCCGUUUUUAACUCUGCGUUAAAAACAGACUGCAAAGUUAAAUAAUAUUUUACGUGGCAAGAAAGACUGGACAGCAGAGUCUGCCGGUUGAUCUCUCAAUCGCGUUGUGCUUAUUUUGUCCAGCAGAGGGGGCUGCUCACUAUAUCAUCUUCAUUCACUCUUCUUCUACUAACUACUUGCUCGCGCUAGUUUUAGAGAAAACUUCUGUGGAAAACUCCGCCAGAAGCUUAGCAAGUGUCAAGUGAAUCCACAACAUCACCACAAACGUCUUUUCAAGCCAGAGAGUGGAGAGGAAGGAGAGGAGGAAGACUGGAUAGGAAGAAGAGUGAAGGAGAUAAGAGGAGGAAAGGUAAAGAUAUGAUUACAGAGACUGCCAAUUUAUUAUUCCAACCAAUAUUUUUGAGAUAAAAUACAAAAGUGAGGCAAGCAAUGGGAAUCUGUUAACCAAAGUAGUUUAUCUAAUAGUGUACUAUUUAUUAUUACAGAUUGGAGAAGGAGAAGGAAAGAUGAAGGGAGUAAAAAGAGUGAAGCGAGGAGAGUGUGGAAGAGUGAGGUGGAAAGGUAAAGAGAAGGAAAGGCAGGAAGAGGAGUGAAGAAAAGAGUAGGAGAAAGAUUGGAGGAGAAGAAAAAGUUAAGAGUGACACAAUGACAUGAGACAAUGUCCAUUUAUACGCUCAGGUCAAGACAAUAGAAUGGUUUACUGCACCCUUUGUAAUUCCUCUUUUUCAAUUGGCAGCGGGGGACGAACGGCAGUGGUAGAACAUCAACAGUCGAAAAAGCAUAAAGCCUCCCUGAUUGCCCGUGUUGGUAUGUCCUCUGUCACCACAUUCUGCAAGAAGGUAGAGCCUUCCCAAGAAUAAUAUGAUUUAGCUGUGCAGGAGGGAUGUCUUUGCAUACCACACUAUGCGACACAAUCAUAGUUACAGAUCUCUGGGCUGCAACAGCACAACUGACACGAAAGCUUUAUGAGCCGAAGUUUACAUGUGCUAGGACAAAAUGUGAAGCCAUAGUGAGUAACGUGUUAGCACCGUGGGCAACUACUUUGGUAACACAGGACCUAGACCAGGUUGAAUUUGUGUCCCUGUCCAUUGAUGCGUCCAAUCAUGGACAUGUAAAGCUGCUGCCAAUAGUAGUCAGAUAUAUGAUGGCAACACAUCUGUGGAAACAAACCUGCUUGGUUUUGUUGAAUUGAAAGGAGAAACAGCAGAGGAAAUUGCAGCUGAGGUCCUGGAGGUCAUUAAAAAAAUGUAACCUGGAAAACAAAGUCGUGGCAUUCUCUGCCGACAACACAAAUACCAACUUUGGAGGACUGAAUAGGCUGGGGAGGGUCAAUGUCCAUACCAAAGUUAAAAAUGCUCUGCAGUGGGAGGUGAUUAGCUUAGGUUGUCCUGCCCACAUCAUUCAUAACACGGCCAGAACAGCUUUGGAUAUGAUUCCCCUUGAUGUUGAGUACCUGCUCACAAAGAUAUUUGGACAUUUUCACCGUUGGAGUAGAAAGACUGAAGAGCUUUUUUUAGGACACAGAAAUGUUCGCUGGCUGUCCAUGCUCCCUGCUCUAGAAAGAGCGCUGAAAAUGUAUGUGCCAUUGAAAUCCUUUUUUUCUUUCUGAAGACAAAUGCCCUGUUGUCCUGCGAACAAUGUUCGAAGAUCCACUGACUGAACUUUGGCUGGCCUUUGUCAAUGGAAACCUGACCGUAUUCGGUGACACAAUCAAGAUGCUUGAAGGCCAGGACCGCUGUGCUGUGGAGUCCGCUGCAAUUCUGAGAAACAUUGAGGCAAAAUUGACUGCAAGACGUGAUGGCAACUUCAUUCCAGUUUUGGUCAGAGGACUUCUGAGAGAGCUGGAGGACAAUGGAGCCAUGUCUAAAGAGAGCUUUCUCAAAACAUCCCAAUCAUUCUUCACUACGGCUGUGAACUACUUGCACGUUUAUGGGGAAAGCACACAGAUAAUCUAAAAUAUUUACAUGGUCUCCUUUUUAAAAAGGCAACCUCAGCGUGAAGAGAUCCAGAAGGCAGCAGGCACACUGCAGGAAAAAUGCCCCAUUGUGGCCAUCAAUGAGGAUGCAUUGUUUGACGAGGUUACUGGAUUGCAAGAGUUCCUAAAGGGUUACCCACUUCAAAGAGAACGACAUCUCACACACUAACCUGGCUAGAUUAGCCUCUGUUGUCAUGUGCUUACCUGGAAGUAAAGCACCAGUCGAGAGAGUGUUCUCCUAAAUGAAUGAUCUAUGGACAGCAGCAAGAAAUAGGUUCACUGUUCCUACCAUCAAGGCCAUGCUUAUUGUGAAGACAAACUUCAACCUCCUCUGCCAGGAGUUCAUGGAGAAGCUGGCCGAAGACAUAGCAAUCCUGAAGGAGAUACAUUCUUCUAAGAAAUAUACAGAUUAGGCCACCAGGACCACUGAAUGGCUGUUCAGAUCAGUUCUACCCAGGCCACCAGGACCACUGAAUGGCUGUUCAGAUUGGACAGUUCUGUCUUGUCUGUAGUGUUUCUGUAAUGUAGUUGUUUUUUUCUAUCACAGUGUACCUGUUAGACUAAAUACAUGAAACCGGAAUUGUCCCUCUUUUUAAAAAUGUCAUGGAUAAUAACAUUGGAUAUUUGAAUGAUAUAUUGACCGCCGAACUGGAAAUGUCCCCGAUUUUAAUUUCAGAAAUCUGGUCACCUUAUGGUAGAGGUGACAUCUUAUGGGGAUGUACAGUAGGCCUAUACAGAAGACGUUGUAGAAUUAUAACCAAGCAAACGAAUAACCUGGAAUCCUCUAUAAAUCUACUCUAAAUAUAGUUCAUAAUCUGAUACAUUUCCUACCCUUUCAGUGAGGCAGCAGAUCUUUCAAUUGUGAACAGUUGUCAUAGCAACAGCAGGGGAUGACUCAAAUGCCAAUUCUAAAUCCAGGCCUUCUGUGUGUGUCUUGUGUCUGGUUGUACUGUGUAAAAUAUGAGUAUUACGAAUAUUGUGUGUUGUCAGAGUAUGUGUACUGUGUUCCUACGUAUGAUCAUGUUUGUGAGGCUGUGUUCACGUGAUCGUCUCUCUUUCUCUCUCUCUCUCUCUCUGUC